AGGAUGAACGCUGGCGGCGUGCUUAACACAUGCAAGUCACGGGGGCUCAGCAAUGGGCAACCGGCGAACGGGUGCGUAACACGUGAGCAAUCUACCGAAAUGAGGGGGAUAGCCGGCCCAACGGCCGGGUAAUACCGCAUACGCUCGAGACCAGGCAUUUGGACUCGAGGAAACCUCCGGGGCAUUUCGAGGAGCUCGCGGCCUAUCAGCUAGUUGGUGAGGUAACGGCUCACCAAGGCGACGACGGGU
rnacentral:rRNA from 1 species